AGGCUUGUAGCUCAGAGGAUAAAGAGCGCAUGGUUCCGAACUAUGAAGUCAAGGGUUCAAAUCCCUUCAUGCCUA
rnacentral:tRNA from 1 species